rnacentral:siRNA from 1 species
CGUUACAUGGUAGAUUGCCCUA